GAUUAACGCUGGCGGUGUGUUUAAUACAUGCAAGUCGAACGAUCUUUUAGAUAGUGGCGAACGGGUGCGUAACACGUUGGAACCUGCCCCGGACUCAGGGAUAACACCUAGAAAUAGGUGCUAAUACCGGAUGGUCCCGCAAGGGUAAAGCUUUUGCGGUCCGGGAGGGGCCUGCGGCCUAUCAGCUUGUUGGUGAGGUAAUGGCUCACCAAGGCUAUGACGGGUAGCUGGUCUGAGAGGAUGAUCAGCCACAAUAGGACUGAGACACGGCCUAUACUCCUACGGGAGGCAGCAGUAAAGAAUCUUCCACAAUGGGGGAAACCCUGAUGGAGCAACACCGCGUGACCGAUGACGGUCUUACGAUUGUAAAGGUCUUUUCUGGGGGAAGAAUUAUGACGGUACCCCAGGAAUAAGCACCGGCUAACUCCG
rnacentral:rRNA from 1 species